rnacentral:rRNA from 1 species
GACAGAGGGUGCAAACGUUGUUCGGAAUUACUGGGCGUAAAGCGCAUGUAGGCGGCCAAGCAGGUCGGAUGUGAAAUCCCUCGGCUCAACCAAGGAAGUGCAUUCGAAACCGCAUGGCUGGAGUCCCGGAGAGGAUGGUGGAAUUCUCGGUGUAGAGGUGAAAUUCGUAGAUAUCGAGAGGAACACCGGCGGCGAAAGCGGCCAUCUGGACGAGGACUGACGCUGAGAUGCGAAAGCGUGGGGAGCAAACAGG